AUAUCAGACAUCACCGACUUAGCAUAUCGAACAACAAAACCAUUUUUAUAGCAAUAUUUUUAACUUAUACAGUUAAAAUAAUAUUUUAUAAAUAAGAAUGACAUAUCGUCUAUAUAUUAUAUAGAAAAAGAAUAUUUUUAUAAAUUAAUUUUAAGCACAAAUGAGCUUAUUAAGUAUUAAUAGAGAAAGACUAUCGUCAAGAAGAAUGGCGUUCCUAAGUAUGAGAAGUAGUUUGAGAUUAUUAUGGGCUGCGGCGACAACGCUGGUCUUCCUGACGCGGAGUAGCGCGGCACCGGCUUUCGGAGAAACUAAUAAGGCUAUGAUGUAUUUGGCGCAAUAUGGUUACCUCAAUCCGUCUGUGCGGAAUCCUUCCAGCGGUCACAUUAUGGACGAGAGUUCAUGGAGACGAGCUAUAUCGGAGUUCCAAAGCUUUGCUGGACUGAACAAUACUGGUGAACUCGAUGAAGAAACAAAAAAAUUAAUGUCAUUGCCAAGGUGUGGAGUAAAAGAUAAAGUGGGCUUUGGGGAAAGUCGUGCCAAGAGAUACGCGUUGCAAGGUUCGAGGUGGCGUGUAAAGAACCUGACGUACAAGAUCUCGAAAUACCCGUCUCGUCUCAACCGUGCUGAAGUUGACGCUGAACUUGCAAAAGCCUUCUCCGUUUGGUCCGACUACACAGACCUUACAUUCACACAAAAACGCUCUGGACAAGUUCAUAUUGAAAUCAGGUUCGAAAAAGGCGAGCACGGUGACGGUGACCCCUUUGACGGUCCCGGUGGUACCCUUGCCCACGCCUACUUCCCGGUCUAUGGUGGAGAUGCUCACUUCGACGAUGCAGAAGUGUGGUCAAUUAGUUCCAGAAGGGGAACUAACCUUUUCCAAGUAGCAGCUCAUGAGUUUGGUCAUUCUCUCGGUCUAUCUCACAGUGACGUGCGCUCAGCUUUGAUGGCGCCCUUCUAUCGUGGAUUUGAUCCCGCCUUCCAGCUUGACCAGGAUGACAUACAAGGAAUACAGGCACUUUACGGACAUAAGACACAAAUCGAUAUUGGUGGUGGUGCUGUACCAAACCCAUCAAUUCCACGAAUCACCACACCCCAACCAUCUGCAGAGGACCCCGCUCUAUGCGCAGAUCCUAACAUCGACACCAUAUUUAACUCUGCUGAAGGAUCUACAUUUGUUUUCAAAGGCGAGCAUUACUGGCGGCUGACGGAGAGCGGCGUAGCGGCGGGAUACCCGCGUCUCAUAGCACGCGCUUGGCCCGGCCUGCCUGGCAACAUUGACGCUGCGUUCACAUAUAAGAACGGAAAAACCUACUUCUUCAAGGGAUCCAAGUACUGGAGGUACAAUGGCCAAAAGAUGGACGGAGAGUACCCAAAAGAUAUUAGUGAAGGUUUUACCGGUAUUCCUGAUAACUUGGACGCAGCGCUUGUAUGGUCAGGCAAUGGCAAAAUUUACUUCUAUAAGGGUUCCAAGUUCUGGAGGUUCGACCCAGCUCAACGUCCUCCAGUCAAAUCAACCUACCCUAAGCCUUUGUCAAACUGGGAGGGUAUCCCAGAUAACAUAGAUGCAGCACUACAAUACACUAAUGGGUACACAUAUUUCUUCAAAGGUGGAUCCUAUUGGCGGUUCAAUGACAGAACUUUCAGUGUGGACACUGACAAUCCUUCGUUCCCGCGGUCCACCGCGUACUGGUGGCUAGGCUGUAGCAGCGCGCCGCGAGGCACCGUCGGAGGUAACGCGCGACUCUCCGCGCCUCCACCUUCUGAGGAGGACGAUGUUGGCGACAUACAAUUCGACGCAGGUGUAAAAUCAUCCGCUCCCAGGUCAUUCUUCUGGUUCAGGAAAUAGCCUCGGUGGAGAGUUCCCGAACAUUUGUACAUAGACAAAUAACAUAAAGAACAAAGACUAAAUUAGUAAAAUAGGGGAUUAUAUGAAUACCAGUGAGAUUAUAGACAUAAGCGGUGAUUUUAGUACCGGCGAGUUUCUCACGCGCUGCCUUGAUCAGCGUUCAGUCAGGCGGAGCUAGACUGUAGUAAUGACUCGGGGCUCCGAUAUAUUAGGAGGGCACGAAACGUCCUCCGCCGCGUCAUCACUCACCCGCAUCGUAGGUUACAAUUCAUUUCUUUUGCUUUACCGCGAGAUUCGUACUCGUUAAGAGAUAACGGAUUUCGCGGUCUGUGUGGAUUGCAUCUUUUUUCACCAUCAUCACUCCAUUUGUGUUUAUCGAGUUCGUGGCAUGUUAUAGAAUAAAGCACUAAACUCUCGCUUGCACUCUGGAAUAGCCGCCGAGUCCUUAAUGUAGCUCUUUGCGCUGGCGUUGCACAGAUUCUGGGGAGCCGACGGGUGGCAGCGGCGCGGCGCCCUCAUGGCGCUCCUCAGGCGUGCUACUGGCGGCGGUGCUGACCCUGCUGAAUCUGACAUACGCGCGCAUUUAGCGCCUCCACCGCGUCUCCACUGUGAUCGUGCGUUGUAUGCCUGUUCGCGUUCGGUAUAUUGUGUAUAGCGAGCGCCCUGCUGUGAUUAAAGCGUCCUUUUAUACUGUUGCGAGAACGAUAAUUUAAUUCGAAGUCAUAGUUUUUAUACUUAAUAUAAAUAGAUGAUGUAAGUUCGAGUGUGAUAUUGACGUAAGCGAUGAUUUUUGUAAUAAAAUAUUUAAUGAUAUAA